UCUUAACAAAUCAGACAGCCAAUCUAAUUUCAGAAAAAGGGCCAGAGAAGUACCACAUCGUGAAGAAAAGAAGAGAUAGACUUAAAGGAGCAUCAAAUCCCGAGCUGUGACAUCGGAAUCCAGGACAUACAAGAUGACCAAUCUAUUACUCUGGAUGAUUUCUCUUAACCACAAUUGCUACUGCUUCUGGUCUCACUAUUGACGUAGACGGUCCGAUCAAUGGUCCGUGUUCUCUAUGUCCAGAAGGAGCUCCCGGUCCCCGUGGACCACCUGGAGACAUUGGCCUGCCGGGAAGAGACGGUCGUGAUGGGAGGGACGCUUCGUGUAAUGGCCAACUAUCAGGUAGAA